rnacentral:rRNA from 1 species
CGGACGGGUGAGUAACGCGUGGGGAACCGUGCCCUGUACAGGGGGAGUAACACUUAGAAAUAGGUGCUAAUACCGCAUAAGCGCACAGUAUCGCAUGAUACAGUGUGAAAAACUACCGGUGGUACAAGAUGGACCCGCGUCUGAUUAGCUGGUUGGCGGGGUAACGGCCCACCAAGGCGACGAUCAGUAGCCGGCCUGAGAGGGUGAACGGCCACAUUGGGACUGAGACACGGCCCAAACUCCUACGGAAGGCAGCAG